rnacentral:rRNA from 1 species
UACAGAGGUGCGAGCGUUGUCCGGAAUCACUGGGCGUAAGAGCUCGUAGGCGGCUUGUCACGUCUGCUGUGAAACUUGGGCUCAACUCCAAGCCUGCAGUGGAUACGGGCUAGCUAGAGUGCGGUAGGGGAGACUGGAAUUCCUGGUGUAGCGGUGAAAUGCGUAGAUAGUCGGAAGGAACAUCAGUGGCGAAAGCGACUUCCUGGACCAGUACCGACGUCAGGCACGAAAGCGUGGGGAGCAAACAGG